rnacentral:rRNA from 1 species
UACGUAGGGUGCAAGCGUUAUCCGGAUUUACUGGGCGUAAAGGGUCCGUCGGCGACCUAGAAAGUCUUUUGUUUAAGCCUGUGGCUUAACUGCAGAAAGGCAAAAGAAACUUCUAGGAUUGAGUAUGUUAGGGGAAGCUGGAAUUCUCGGUGGAGGGGUGAAAUCCGUAGAUAUCGAGAGGAACGCCAAUCGCGAAGGCAAGCUUCUAUGACAUUACUGACGCUCAUGGACGAAAGCUAGGGUAGCAAAAGGGAUUAGAGACCCCUGUAGUCCUAGCCGUAAACACUCCUUGCUAGAUGCUUGUCCCGCCGAAUAUAUUUUUCAAAGUAUAUUGGGCGGGAUGAGUGUCGUAAGCUAACGCGUUAAGCAAGGCGCCUGGGGAGUACGACCGCAAGGUUAAAACUCAAAGGAAUUGACGGGGGAGCGCACAACCGGUGGAGCAUGUGGUUUAAUUCGACACAAAGCGAAAAACCUUACCCGGGUUUGACAUGUACCUGCACGGUCUAGGAAACUAGAUCUUCUUCGAGAGUGGCACACAGGUGAUGCAUGGCUGUCGUCAGCUCGUGUCGUGAGACGUCCUCUUAAGUGAGGUAACGAGCGCAACCCUUGUUGCUAGUUAUAUUUGUCUAGCAAGACUGCUCUGCAUUUUGCAGGGAGGAAGGAGAGGAUGACGUCAAGUCAGCAUGUCCCUUACAUCCGGGGCUACACACAUCCUACAAUGGAGCCGACAACGGGUAGCGACAGCGUAAGCUCGAGCUAAUCCUCUAAACGGCCCCUCAGUUCGGAUUGAGGGCUGAAAUUCGCCCUCAUGAAGCCGGAAUCGGUAGUAAUCGCAAAUCAGCAGGUUGCGGUGAAUACGUUCUCGCUCCU